GGUCCUCGUAGUAUAACAAAUUACACUGGCCUUGUAAACCAGAAAUGAAACACACACACUUCCGAGGGCA
rnacentral:tRNA from 1 species